CCUACGGGAGGCAGCAGUGAGGAAUAUUGGUCAAUGGACGAGAGUCUGAACCAGCCAAGUAGCGUGAAGGAUGACUGCCCUAUGGGUUGUAAACUUCUUUUAUAAGGGAAUAAAACACGGCACGUGUGCAUUUUUGCAUGUACUUUAUGAAUAAGGAUCGGCUAACUCCGUGCCAGCAGCCGCGGUAAUACGGAGGUUCCGAGCGUUAUCCGGAUUUAUUGGGUUUAAAGGGAGCGUAGACGGGUGGUUAAGUCAGUGGUGAAAGUUUGCGGCUCAACCGUAAGAUUGCAGUUGAUACUGGCAGGCUUGAGUGCAGGUGAGGUAGGCGGAAUUCGUGGUGUAGCGGUGAAAUGCUUAGAUAUCACGAAGAACCCCGAUUGCGAAGGCAGCUUGCUGAACUGUAACUGACGUUGAUGCUCGAAAGUGUGGGUAUCAAACAGGAUUAGAUACCCCGGUAGUC
rnacentral:rRNA from 1 species